AUUGAACGCUGGCGGCAUGCCUUACACAUGCAAGUCGAACGGCAGCACGGGAGCAAUCCUGGUGGCGAGUGGCGAACGGGUGAGUAAUAUAUCGGAACGUGCCCAGUAGUGGGGGAUAACUGCUCGAAAGAGCAGCUAAUACCGCAUACGACCUGAGGGUGAAAGGGGGGGAUCGCAAGACCUCUCGCUAUUGGAGCGGCCGAUAUCAGAUUAGCUAGUUGGUGGGGUAAAGGCCUACCAAGGCAACGAUCUGUAGUUGGUCUGAGAGGACGAACAGCCCCACUGGGACUGAGACACGGCCCAGACUCCUACGGGAGGCAGCAGUGGGGAAUUUUGGCCAAUGGGCGCAAGCCUGACCCAGCAAUGCCGCGUGCAGGAAGAAGGCCUUCGGGUUGUAAACUGCUUUUGUCAGGGAAGAAAUCCUCUAGGUUAAUACCCUUGGGGGGAUGACGGUACCUGAAGAAUAAGCACCGGCUAACUACGUGCCAGCCGCCGCAGUAACAC
rnacentral:rRNA from 1 species